GUACCUACAGGCUACAGCGAUGAAACCUCAGUAGCGAACAGAAAACAGACGAGACGAAACGAAACUCACGGAUGAAACUACCGGCGGCGAGCCUCAAGAGAUCCCGUCACCUCCUGCACCUCAUCAAACUUACAAAGCUAAGAGAUCCCGUCACAGCUCUCUCCCACCUCCAAACUCUCACCACCGACGACCGCCGAUACGCCUCCGACCUCCCCCGAGCGUCGCCGCUCCGUUCGCCCUCUCCGUCGACACCGUCCGUCCUCAACCUGUUUGAUGAAAUGCGCGGCAAAAAUUUCAAAGUCGGGUCUUGGGGGUUGUAAUGUGUUGGUUGCCCGUAUCAUGCAUACACUUACUUGGAUGUAAUAUGUGUACCACUUUGCAACCAGGAGGUAGACCCCAAAGUUCAAGAGGCUGAGUAUGGCAAGAAGCCAGAAGAAGUAGUCAAGGUGGCCCCUAUUCAAAUUAUCAGGAAUCCACCCAAGCUUCCCAUUUCUUG